GGGGCUAGCGUUGUUCGGAAUUACUGGGCGGAAAGGGCGCGUAGGCGGUGUGUCAAGUCAGGCGUGAAAGCCCCGGGCUCAACCUGGGAACCGCGCUUGAGACUGGCACGCUAGAGUUCGGGAGAGGAUGGUGGAAUUCCCAGUGUAGAGGUGAAAUUCGUAGAUAUUGGGAAGAACACCGAUGGCGAAGGCAGCCAUCUGGACCGACACUGACGCUGAGGCGCGAAAGCGUGGGGAGCAAACAGG
rnacentral:rRNA from 1 species